GUGCGGUGGGUCGUCCGUGACCGGGGCUGCGGUGGACUUUCGUUUCGACAUUUCCCUUUUGGGGGUCGAGGGAAGACAGGGUUUGGAGGAGUGGUCUUUUGGCGGAGAAUAUCAAAAUGUGAUUCUUCUCAUCUGAUAUGAUGAAUAUAUAUAUAUA